CUUGGUGACCAUAGCGUCAGUGACCCACCCGAUCCCAUCUCGAACUCGGCCGUGAAACCUGACAGCGCCAAUGGUUGAAAAACCCAUCACAAUGA
rnacentral:rRNA from 1 species